rnacentral:miRNA from 1 species
UCGGUAAACCGAGUGUAAGAACU